rnacentral:lncRNA from 1 species
CACAAUCUAUAGCUUAUUCAGCGAUAACAAAUUAAGUAUAUGAACGAAAUUAUAAUCGUGGAACCACAUGUUCAACCUUAUACAUCUGUACCAAACUCAGUUAACAGGGGAGGUCUAAAGAAAUGAAUUAAUCCCUGUAAGGGUCAUGGAAUCAAUCAACAUGAAAUUGUCCUUAUGCUAAGCAAAGAAAAAGGAACAUACGAUGAACUAAAAUGAUUCCUAGAUCAGUAGGGCACGCAGAUUUAUACAUGAUCCAGAGAAUAAUGCAACCAGACCAACAAAGACAACAGAUAUUUGUCUUACAAAUCCAUCUAAGCAUGAAAUACACGUAACUUCAUUUAAUCCUUAAUGUCUUACACGAAAUGGUGAACCGCAUGAGUGCUUAAUCAAUAUAUUCUCCUGUUUAACGCGAGCUCAGUACAUUCGCAUGCUAUUUAACAUCAAAAUUCAUAAGCACCUUGAGCUUCCAUGGGAUUUCAGUACCAUAGAAUCACAUUUUACACAUUCAAGGUCAAACGAAAUACCUGGAUAAUCAGCAAAAGACCAAAUGUUAGCUUGAAAUAAGGAGGAAUAGCAGCAAUAGACCAGUAACACCAAAAUCAAACCACAAGCUUCAAGUUCACAUCACUUUAAAACCCAGAAUUAGAAUAACCUUCAGAAAUCUAAAAUAAAACUUAAGAAUUGUGGAAAAAAAUCUUCAAUGAAACAGUGAACUUUGUACUUACAGUUGUUUUUCCUUUCUCUGAUUUUUAGCUCUCUAAAUCUUCGGUUUGUUAGAAU